UCACGCCCCGUGCCCCGCCUAUUUGGUCGGGUUCGGGCACGUUAACAGACCGCCGAACGGAUAGAGUCUCCUCUGUACGUCCAAGGCGUCGCAAUCAAUACAAUACGAGAGGUUCCAACCAGGAACAGUAUUUACUCAUAGAUUGCACAAGGAAGUAUCAUAAACAUAAAACUACUAAGUUAUUACAACAUUCAACUUAGAUACAUUUUACAACACAUUUACAUUCAACUUCCAAAUACAAUCACAAUUAUUACAAUUUAUUACAAGUUUGUACUUU
rnacentral:lncRNA from 1 species